CCCCAGUAAACGGCGGCCGUAACUAUAACGGUCCUAAGGUAGCGAAAUUCCUUGUCGGGUAAGUUCCGACCCGCACGAAAGGCGUAACGAUUUGGGCACUGUCUCAACAACAGACUCGGUGAAAUUGUAAUUCCGGUGAAGAUGCCGGAUACCUGCGACAGGACGGAAAGACCCCAUGGAGCUUUACUGUAGCUUGACAUUGGGUCUUGGUACUACAUGUACAGGAUAGGUGGGAGGCUUUGAAACCAGGACGCCAGUUUUGGCGGAGCCAUCCUUGGGAUACCACCCUUGUAGUACUGGGACUCUAACCAUAGGCCAUGAAUCUGGUCUUGGGACACUGUCAGGUGGGCAGUUUGACUGGGGCGGUCGCCUCCCAAAAGGUAACGGAGGCGCUCAAAGGUUCUCUCAGUACGGUCGGAAAUCGUACGUAGAGUGUAAAGGCAAAAGAGAGCUUGAUUGCAAGACAUACAGGUCGAGCAAGGAUGAAAAUCGGACUUAGUGAUCCGGUGGUUCUGCGUGGAAGGGCCAUCGCUCAACGGAUAAAAGCUACCCUGGGGAUAACAGGCUUAUCUCCCCCAAGAGUCCACAUCGACGGGGAUGUUUGGCACCUCGAUGUCGGCUCAUCACAUCCUGGGGCUGUAGUAGGUCCCAAGGGUUGGGCUGUUCGCCCAUUAAAGUGGUACGCGAGCUGGGUUCAGAACGUCGUGAGACAGUUCGGUCCCUAUCCGUCGCAGGCGUAGGAAAUUUGAGAAGACCUGUCCUUAGUACGAGAGGACCGGGAUGGACGUACCUCUGGUGUACCAGUUGUCCUGCCAAGGGCAUGGCUGGGUAGCUAUGUACGGAAUGGAUAAGCGCUGAAAGCAUCUAAGCGCGAAGCCAACUUCAAGAUAAGAUUUCCCACCGUAAGGGUAAGACCCCAGAAAGACUAUCUGGUUGAUAGGUCGAAGGUGUAAGUGCAGCAAUGUAUUUAGCUUAUCGAUACUAAUAGGUCGAGGACUUGACCAA
rnacentral:rRNA from 1 species